rnacentral:lncRNA from 1 species
CUCUGCCCCCGCCCUCGGUGUCCCCGCGAGCUCCGGAGCCUCCCGGGAGCAGCCGAGGUCCCUGGCUCGGCACCGCGGCUCCGCAGGUCUCUGCGUCCCUGCCGCGUGGAGGAAGGCAAGGCUUCGUUCUCUGCCGUCGGGGUGGGACGCGGAGGGAGGUAAUCAUUUAAAAUGGUGAGGUACUCUCUUGAUCCAGAGAACCCCACAAAAUCAUGCAAGUCAAGGGGUUCAAAUCUCCGGGUCCACUUCAAGGUAUGUGAAAAUAAAUCAUGAUUAGGUUCUAAAGUGGUUUUUCAUCUUGUAUAUGUUUCUUGGAAUCAGGACUGUAUUUGAAGCUGCAAUGAUGAUGUUUCUUAGGACACCUUUGGAUUAACUAUGAAAAUGAAACAACACUGAGCAGCCACUUUUGUUUGUUUAGUGAGGUCUCCAGGGUUUUAUACUAGGUGCUACAUCUUGACCAAAAUAUUGAAAACCAAUGAGAUAAGAAAUAAGUGAGAAGUGUCAUAGAGUGAAAACAUUACACUGAACUCAGUUGCCCUACUUCAUAGACCUGAGUUCUGGCACUAAGUAUUUAAUUUUAAGCAUAUUGUGUAAACUCUUGAGUUAAUUUGUGCUACAUAAAUG